rnacentral:rRNA from 1 species
AGUGAACGCUGGCGGUAGGCCUAACACAUGCAAGUCGAACGGCAGCACAGGAGAGCUUGCUCUCUGGGUGGCGAGUGGCGGACGGGUGCGGAAUACAUCGGAAUCUACCUUUUCGUGGGGGAUAACGUAGAGAAACUUACGCUAAUACCGCAUACGACCUACGGGCGAAAGUGGGGGACCGCAAGGCCUCACGCGAUUAGAUGAGCCGAUGUCCGAUUAGGUAGUUGGCGGGGUAAUGGCCCACCAAGGCGACGGUCGGUAGCUGGUCUGAGAGGAUGAUCAGCCACACUGGAACUGAGACACGGUCCAGACUCCUACGGGAGGCAGCAGUGGGGAAUAUUGGACAAUGGGCGCAAGCCUGAUCCAGCCAUACCGCGUGGGUGAAGAAGGCCUUCGGGUUGUAAAGCCCUUUUGUUGGGAAAGAAAUCCUGUCGAUUAAUACUCGGUGGGGAUGACGGUACCCAAAGAAUAAGCACCGGCUAACUUCGUGCAGCCGCCGCCGUAA